rnacentral:rRNA from 1 species
GAAGUAAAAGUCGUAACAAGGUCUCCGUUGGUGAACCAGCGGAGGGAUCAUUACAGGACUCGCAAGACUCCCGUAACCCACGCGAACCUUACCUUUGCAUCGUUGCCUCGGCGGGUGCGCUUGGCUUCCCCCAAGCGCCUCGGACCCCCGCCGGCGGCCUACAACUCUUCUGCUUCUUAAGCGUUGGCAUCUCUAAGGAAAAACACAAACGAAUCAAAACUUUCAACAACGGAUCUCUUGGUUCUGGCAUCGAUGAAGAACGCAGCGAAAUGCGAUAAGUAAUGUGAAUUGCAGAAUUCAGUGAACCAUCGAAUCUUUGAACGCACAUUGCGCCCGCCGGUAUCCCGGCGGGCAUGCCUGUCCGAGCGUCAUUGCAACCCUCAGGCCCUCGCGCCUGGUGUUGGGGCCCUGCGCGGCAGGCCCCGAAAGACAGCGGCGGGGUGCGUCCCGGAACCGAACGCAGUAGUUACCUCUCGUUCCGGCCCAGGGCGCGCGCCAGCCGUAAAACGCUCCAACUUUUUCUCAAGUUGACCUCGGAUCAGGUAGGAAUACCCGCUGAACUUAAGCAUAUCAAUAAGCGGAGG